CUCUUGUGCAUGGUUUGUGCAAAUUGCAGUUUAUUAACUUGUCUUUGUCUUUGAUGCUUGCAACCUAAUCCAUCACAGCUACACUGCCUCGAAAAGAAAGUGCUGUCAAACAGGAAACAGAGAGUCUUCAUGGAAGUUCGGGGAAAUUAACUGGAUCUACUUCUAGUCUAAAUAAACUCAGUGUUCAGAGUUCAGGGAAUCGCAGAUCUCAGUCAUCUUCCCUGCUGGAUAUGGGAAACAUGUCUGCCUCUGAUCUCGAUGUUGCCGACAGGACCAAAUUUGAUAAGAUCUUUGAACAGGUACUAAGUGAACUGGAGCCCCUAUGUCUGGCAGAACAGGACUUCAUAAGUAAAUUUUUCAAACUACAGCAACAUCAAAGUAUGCCUGGAACUAUGUGCCCGAAUAAUUUUUGCAGGCUGAAGCAGAGGACCUGGAUGGAGGAACAUUAUCACGGCAACAUAAUUGUGGCACACCACUGCCUGUUUCAUCUGAGAAAGAUAUGAUCCGCCAAAUGAUGAUUAAAAUAUUUCGCUGCAUUGAGCCAGAGCUGAACAACCUAAUUGCAUUAGGAGACAAAAUUGA
rnacentral:sRNA from 1 species